rnacentral:rRNA from 1 species
CUAAGCAGCCGAUCACAGGUCUUUGCUUAUUUUGGAUACUAAACUGUGUUGAGCCUGGUUAGUACAUGGAUGGGCAACCAUCUGGGAAUUCAAGGAGCUGCAGA